rnacentral:rRNA from 1 species
UACGUAGGGACCAAGCGUUGUUCGGAUUUACUGGGCGUAAAGGGCGCGCAGGCGGCUUUGUUUGUCAGGCGUGAAAGCCCCGGGCUUAACCUGGGAACUGCGUUUGAUACGGCAGGGCUAGAGUUCGGGAGAGGAGAGUGGAAUUCCCAGUGUAGAGGUGAAAUUCGUAGAUAUUGGGAAGAACACCGGUGGCGAAGGCGGCUCUCUGGACCGAUACUGACGCUGAGGCGCGAAAGCGUGGGGAGCAAACAGG